GGGGGUAUAGCUCAGCUGGGAGAGCAGCAGACUGAAGUGAUAAUUGAAGCUUGUCAUUCUGAAGGUCCCGCGUUCGAUCCGCGGUACCCCCA